rnacentral:rRNA from 1 species
UGGGGAAUAUUGCACAAUGGGCGCAAGCCUGAUGCAGCCAUGCCGCGCGUGUGAAGAAGGCCUUCGGGUUGUAAAGCACUUUCAGCGGGGAGGAAGGCGGUGAGGUUAAUAACCUCAUCGAUUGACGUUACCCGCAGAAGAAGCACCGGCUAACUCCGUGCCAGCAGCCGCGGUAAUACGGAGGGUGCAAGCGUUAAUCGGAAUUACUGGGCGUAAAGCGCACGCAGGCGGUCUGUCAAGUCGGAUGUGAAAUCCCCGGGCUCAACCUGGGAACUGCAUUCGAAACUGGCAGGCUAGAGUCUUGUAGAGGGGGGUAGAAUUCCAGGUGUAGCGGUGAAAUGCGUAGAGAUCUGUAGGAAUACCGGUGGCGAAGGCGGCCCCCUGGACAAAGACUGACGCUCAGGUGCGAAAGCGUGGGGAGCAAACAGG